UACGGGGGGGGCAAGCGUUGUUCGGAAUUACUGGGCGUAAAGGGCUCGUAGGCGGCCAACUAAGUCAGACGUGAAAUCCCUCGGCUUAACCGGGGAACUGCGUCUGAUACUGGAUGGCUUGAAUCCGGGAGAGGGAUGCGGAAUUCCAGGUGUAGCGGUGAAAUGCGUAGAUAUCUGGAGGAACACCGGUGGCGAGGGCGACAUCCUGGACCGGUAUUGACGCUGAGGCGCGAAAGCCAGGGGAGCAAACGGG
rnacentral:rRNA from 1 species